CUCUGGACCGCCGCCCUCGGGUCACGUGGACAGCGAGCUGGCUCAGGCUAUUGACUUUUUCAAGAAUUAAAUUUGAUCCAAGUUUAUGGCGUGCUCCAGGUUCCCCCACGUUUUACCAUUUGAGAAAAGAGUCUGUAUGUGACCCAGACCUUGAACAUAAUCCCCUGACAGGUAGAUGGGGGCGGGGAAAGAUGGAGAGGAGCCGAGAGAGAGAAUAACCAAGACACACUUGGACGAAGGAAACAGGGCUUAUCUGGAGAUUUUACAGUACCAGAUGCUGCAAAGAGAAAAAGCAAAUAACUGCAUGAAUGCACUGUCUGGAAUAGCCAACAGACCUGCCUUCAAGUUCCUGGCUCAUCUCGCAGUGAUGGAUUGCAAGCCGGAAUUGUCAACCAAAUAAACCUUUCUCCCGGAUAUUGCUUUUUGUUACACUAUUUCAUCAACUGUGGCGUAGAAAAGUAUUUCAGACUCUCCCUAGAUGAUAAAACUGUGAAGCAGAAUUUGUUAAAAUAAAUAAUAGUAAAGAGCAUUGAA